CAAAAACAUAGCCAUGAGGAUGUACUUAUGGUGUUUUCUGCUCAAUGAGGGAUUAAAUAGCCGCAGUACACUGACUGUGCAAAGGUAGCGUAAUCAUUUGUCUUUUAAUUGAAGUCCUGUAUGAACGAAUAUAUGGGGGCUCACUUUACCAGUAAUAUUAUGUGAAGUUGCUUAGUGAGUGUAAAUACUCACUUAUUAACAUAAGACGAGAAGACCCUAGAAAUUUGCGUAUAGUGUUUUGUUGGGGCAACAUAGUAGCAAAUAACCUACUAUAUGUAUAUGAAAAUUUUUAGGUAAAGAAAAUUACUCUAGGGAUAACAGCAUAAUUUAUAAAUGUUUGUGACCUCGAUGUUGGAUUAGGAAAUUGUAACUUAGAAGGUGGUCAAUAGUGCUCUGUUCGAGCA
rnacentral:rRNA from 1 species